GUCGCUACUACCGAUUGAACGUUUUAGUGAGGUAUUUGGAUCGGCACUCUGGAGGUUUGCGCCUCUAUUGCGCUGAAAAGACUCCCAAACUUGAGCGUUUAGAGGAAGUAA
rnacentral:rRNA from 1 species